CAAUAGCGUAUAUUAAAGUUGUUGCGGUUUCAAAUCUCGUAGUUGGAUUUCUGCCGAGGACGACCGGUCCGCCCUCUGGGUGAGUAUCUGGCUCGGCCUGGGCAUCUUCUUGGAGAACGCAGCUGCACUUGACUGCGUGGUGCGGUAUCCAGGACUUUUAGCAGGCACAUGCCUUGAAUACUUUAGCAUGGAAUAAUAAGAUAGGACCUCCGUUCUAUUUUGUUGGUUUCUAGGGCUGAGGUAAUGAUUAAUAGGGAUAGUUGGGGGCGAUUUUUAUUUAACUGUCAGAGGUGAAAUUCUUGGAUUUGUUUCAAGACGGACUACUGCGAAACCAUUUGCCAAGGAUGUUUUCAUUAAUCAAGAACGAAAGUUAGGGGA
rnacentral:rRNA from 1 species